GUACUGCUGAUGAGUCUCAAACUGGACGAAACAGCUGUCCAGUGC
rfam:Echinostoma caproni strain Egypt genome assembly, scaffold: ECPE_scaffold0000596